rnacentral:rRNA from 1 species
UUCGCAAUGCCCGAAAGGGUGACGAAGCGACGCCGCGUGUGGGAAGAAGGCCUUCGGGUUGUAAACCACUGUCGGGAGUUAAGAAAUGUAAGGGUGUUAAUAGCGCCUUUACUUGACAAGGGCUCCGGAGGAAGCCACGGCUAACUCUGUGCCAGCAGCCGCGGUAAUACAGAGGCGGCGAGCGUUGUUCGGAAUUAUUGGGCGUAAAGAGCACGUAGGCGGCUUUGCAAGUCAGUUGUGAAAGCCUUCCGCUUAACGGAAGAACAGCAGCUGAUACUACAGAGCUUGAGUACGGGAGGGGAGAGUGGAACUUCUGGUGGAGCGGUGAAAUGCGUAGAUAUCAGAAGGAACGCCGGCGGCGAAAGCGAUUCUCUGGUCCGAAACUGACGCUGAGUGUGCGAAAGCUAGGGGAUCAAACGGGAUUAGAUACCCCGGUAGUCCUAGCCGUAAACGAUGGGCACUAAGUAGAGGGGUUUU